GGGGGCGUAGCUCAGCUGGGAGAGCACUAGCUUUGCAAGCUAGGGGUCAGGGGUUCGAUCCCCCUCGCCUCCA
rnacentral:tRNA from 1 species